CUCGCGGAACAACGAGGCGUGUGGAUCCAAUGAGAACACGCCGCGUCCAGGGCCCCGGUGUCCGCAUCGAGCCGGUGACUGCUGUAGCACUGAUAUCAGCACAGCGUUGUGCAGCGUGACUAUAAAACACCGCCGCCGCAUGGGUUUCACUGAUUAAUGUGACAUUUACCAGGGAGCAGUAUUAACGUGUGAGGAUCGCACGGGGAUCUUUUGUUAUUGUUCACACUGUCAGAUAAGCUUCACCUGCAAGAGUCAUUCUGGUCCUGUAUACAAAGUUCAUGGUUACCAUGAGGAAAAAGCUGCCGUUAUUGGCGUUGUUCUGCCUCGCCCUAGCACUCCUUCCUUCUCCAGCAGAUUCAGUUGCUGUGAUGUCUGUAGACCUGGGAAGCGAAUGGAUGAAAGUCGCUAUAGUCAAGCCUGGUGUGCCGAUGGAAAUCGCUCUCAACAAGGAGUCCAGAAGGAAAACUCCAGUGGCCGUAUGCUUAAAAGAGAACGAAAGACUUUUUGGAGACAGUGCUCUGGGUGUGUCUGUGAAGAAUCCCAAAGUGGUGUACAGGUAUCUCCAGAGCCUCUUGGGGAAGACCGCUGAUAACCUCCAGGUUGAGCAGUAUAGGAAACACUUUCCUGAACACCAGGUACUCCGAGAUGAAAAGAGAGGAACGGUGUAUUUCAAAUACUCUGAAGAGAUGCAGUAUACUCCAGAGGAGCUCUUGGGCAUGGUAUUGAACUACUCUCGUGGCCUGGCUGAAGACUUUGCAGAACAAAUCAUUAAAGACGCAGUAAUCACCGUCCCAGCCUUUUUUAACCAGGCAGAACGUAGGGCAGUCCUGCAGGCCGCUCAGAUGGCAGGUUUGAAGGUCCUCCAGCUCAUCAAUGACAAUACGGCUGUGGCUUUGAACUAUGGACUUUUCAGGAGGAAAGACAUCAACUCCACUGCCCAGAAUAUUAUGUUUUACGACAUGGGAUCCGGCAGUACGACGGCCACUAUAGUCACUUACCAGACUGUAAAGACUAAAGAUGCAGGCACACAGCCUCAGCUGCAGAUUCGUGGAAUUGGCUUCGAUAGGACUCUUGGGGGUUUUGAAAUGGAGCUGAGACUGAGAGACCACCUGGCCAAACUCUUCAAUGAGCAAAAGAAAUCGAAGAAAGAUGUAACGGAGAACCUGCGUGCUAUGGCCAAGCUGUUGAAGGAGGCGCAAAGACUCAAGACCGUGCUGAGCGCAAAUGCCGAACAUGUAGCACAGAUCGAAGGGCUGAUGGACGAUAUCGACUUCAAGGCGAAGGUGACCCGUGCCGAGUUUGAGAAUCUAUGUUCCGAUCUGUUUGACCGAGUGCCGAUACCAGUGCAGCAGGCGCUUGCUGCUUCUGAGAUGUCUCUGGACGAGAUUGAACAAGUCAUUCUGGUUGGAGGAGCCACUCGAGUUCCCAGAGUGCAGGAAGCGCUUCUUAAAGCGACUAAGAAAGAUGAGCUUGCAAAGAAUAUAAAUGCUGACGAGGCAGCAGCUAUGGGUGCAGUGUACCAGGCUGCAGCCCUGAGCAAAGCGUUUAAGGUAAAACCCUUCCUGAUCCGGGACGCAGCCGUGUUUCCAAUACAGGUCGAAUUUAGCCGCGAGACUGAGGAAGAUGAGGGAGCGAAGGCAAUCAAGCACAACAAGCGCGUUCUGUUCCAGAGGAUGGCGCCAUAUCCCCAGCGCAAAGUCAUCACCUUCAACCGUUACAGUGAUGACUUUGUUUUCAACAUCAAUUACGGAGACCUCAGCUUCCUCAGCCAAGAAGAUCAGAAGAUGUUUGGCUCUGUGAACCUGACCACGGUGAAGCUGUCUGGAGUCGGAGAGAGCUUCAAGAAGCACACUGACGCCGAGUCCAAAGGCAUCAAGGCCCAUUUUAACAUGGAUGAGAGCGGUUUGCUUGUUCUAGACAGGGUGGAGUCAGUGUUCGAGACUGUCGUUGAGGAAAAAGAGGAAGAAUCGACUCUCACCAAACUUGGGAACACAAUCUCCAGCCUGUUUGGAGGUGGGAGCACAGAGCCCGCUGCUAAUGUGUCAGAACCCGUACAGGAUGAAGAGGAGGUUCCCCCUGAAGCAGGAAAAGAGCAGGAAGAGGCAACGGAGAAAACUGAGGCUCAUCAAGAGCAAUCUGAUACGGAAGAGAAAAGCAAAGAAGAGCCUCCUACUGAAGAGAAGAAAUCUGAUGAAGGCUCUGAAAAAGACGAGCCUCAGACUGAGAAGGAGGCUGAAGCGUCAGAAAAAUCUGAUGAAGGCAAAGCAGCUGGAGCAAAGGAGGAGGAGAAAGAGGCAGAGAAGCAACCUAAAACCCAGAAAAAGAGCAAGAUCUCCGUAGAUAUCGGAGUGGAGCUGCAGAUUAAUGACGUGCUUAAUCCGAGCCCUGAAGAUAUUGAUGUCUCCAAAAAGAAGCUGCAGCAUCUGACAGAACGAGAUCUGGAGAAACAGGAAAGGGAAAAGUCGCUAAACAGUCUGGAGGCGUUCGUCUUUGAGACUCAGGACAAGCUGUACCAGGAUGAGUACCAGGUUGUGGUCACUGAAGAGGAGAAGGAGGCAAUCUCCAGCAAGCUGAGUGAAGCCUCGGCAUGGUUGGAUGAAGAGGGCUAUUCAGCAGAAACCAAACAGCUAAAGGAGAAGUUGUCUGAGCUGAAGAAGCUGUGCAAAGCCAUGUUCUUCCGAGUGGAGGAGAGGAAGAAAUGGCCAGAAAGACUAGCAGCACUUGACAGCAUGCUUAACCACUCUGCCAUGUUCCUGAAGGGUGCUAAAAUGAUACCAGAAGAUGACCAGAUUUUUACCGAAGUUGAGCUGAAGACCUUGGAGAAAGUUAUAAAUGAGACCACGACCUGGAAGAACGAAACUGUGGCCGAGCAGGAAAAACGCGCUCCUACAGAGAGACCCGUGCUGCUAUCCAAAGACAUAGAGGCUAAACUCACUCUCUUAGACCGAGAAGUCACCUACCUGCUCAACAAAGCCAAGUUUGCUAAGCCAAAGCCCAAACCUAAGCCUAAAGAUAAAAACACCACAAGCUCAGAGAACGGCAAACCUAACAGCACAGACUCUGAGAAAGUGAUCCUUCCUGAAGAUGAGUCCAAUGGAGCUGAGGUGAAACCAGCAGAGGAACCACCUACUGAGGAGAUUAAAAAAGUAGAGAGUGAAACAGAGGCAACAAUAGCAGAAGAGACAGAAGACAAAGCAGAAGCUGUGAAUAUACGGGGGACGUUCAAGUCAAACCAGGAUUUGUGAUGAAAUGUCUCAUGAAUGAAGGCAUAAAACCGAUGAAAAACAUUUACAGAAGACUCCAAGCACAAAACGGGAAAUGAUGAUUCACAAAACCAUAUAGGGGAUGAAUUAUAACAACUGGAACAUCUCUCUUUUGUGUUGUAUUUAUUGACUGUGAUAAAGUUUUUUUUUUUUUUUUUUUUCUUUUUUUUUUUUUUACACAUUUGUUCUCUUCGUAUCGCAACAAAACAUUUCAGAGCAUUUUAGGUAAUGUCAGCAUUUUCGUAUAGUUGUUCGCUAACUGUGAUCUACUGAAACGGAACACAUUCGGCUUGAAAGUCUACAGGUAACUACAGUCUGUGUUAAUUCUCUAUUCUGUCUGCCUGUAUUAUAGAAUGGACACACUGCACCGUUUCCCUCAGUCUGUAUGCACUUAUUGUUUUGAUUGUACAUACAUAAAAUGAGCUCAUGAAAAUUUGUCCUUGACAAAUAUUUUAGCAUUUUUGUGCUGAAAUCUAGGCUUUCAACCUAAAAUCUUACAUUCUAGAUUUGCCUGAGAAAAGAUACAUUCUUUAUUCAAGAUAAAUUUUGAUAUGAUUCCCCCCCCCCC